rnacentral:rRNA from 1 species
AGCCAUGCAUGUCUAAGUAUAAGCACUUGUACUGUGAAACUGCGAAUGGCUCAUUAAAUCAGUUAUCGUUUAUUUGAUUGUACCUUACUACAUGGAUACCUGUGGUAAUUCUAGAGCUAAUACAUGCGAAAAGUCCCAACUUCUGGAAGGGAUGUAUUUAUUAGAUUAAAAACCAAUGCAAGUCUUCGGGCUCGUUUUCUUGGUGAUUCAUGAUAACUUUUCGAAUCGCAUGGCCUAGAGCCGGCGAUACUUCAUUCAAAUUUCUGCCCUAUCAACUGUCGAUGGUAAGGUAGUGGCUUACCAUGGUUAUAACGGGUGACGGAGAAUUAGGGUUCGAUUCCGGAGAGGGAGCCUGAGAAACGGCUACCACAUCUAAGGAAGGCAGCAGGCUCGAAAAUUACCCAAUCCCGACUCGGGGAGGUAGUGACAAGAAAUAACGAUACGGGGUCUUAAUAGGUCUCGCAAUUGGAAUGAGUACAAUUUAAAUCCUUUAACGAGGAUCAAUUGGAGGGCAAGUCUGGUGCCAGCAGCCGCGGUAAUUCCAGCUCCAAUAGCGUAUAUUAAAGUUGUUGCAGUUAAAAAGCUCGUAGUUGGAUUUCGGAGUGGGCCAGUUGGUCCGCCGCAAGGUGUGUUACUGACUGGUUUGCUCUUCUUCGCAAAGACUGCGUGUGCUCUUGAGUGAGUGUGCGUAGAAUUUACGACGUUUACUUUGAAAAAAUUAGAGUGUUCAAAGCAGGCUAUUGCUUGAAUACAUGAGCAUGGAAUAAUGGAAUAGGACUUUGGUCCCAUUUUGUUGGUUUCUAGGGCCGAAGUAAUGAUUAAGAGGGACAAUUGGGGGCAUCCGUAUUUCGUUGUCAGAGGUGAAAUUCUUGGAUUUACGAAAGACGAACAACUGCGAAAGCACUUGCCAAGAGUGUUUUCAUUAAUCAAGAACGAAAGUUAGAGGAUCGAGACGAUCAGAUACCGUCCUAGUUCUAACCAUAAACGAUGUCGACUAGGGAUCAGCGGGCGUUAUCGUACGAC